CUGUUUUGAGAAUCUAAUUAGUUAAAACUUUGGAUUGUUUUAUUUGAAUAGUGAAUGUAUAUUCAUUGCAUGAAUUUUUUUUUAAGUAUGUGUUACUAUGUUAGUAUGGGAAGUUAACUUUUCUUGUCUUCAAUUUUUUUAUUUUUUUCGUAUGCAUGCAUAGUGAGUAUUGUUCUGCAAUGCAAAUAGUUUGUAUAUUAU
rnacentral:lncRNA from 1 species